ACUUGGUAUUUUUUUCCGCUUUCUCUAAAACUGUCGAACCCUAGCUAAUGACUUCAGCAGCUCAUUCACUUCAACUGUCGACCUCAUCGUUCUUCAAGCUGACCUGCGUCGAGUCCCCGUCCUCCUUCUCCAACCUGACGUGCUCCAAGUCCCUCUCUGACCCAAGCCAACUGGAGCCGCCUCCGACCUGACCCCAAGUCCUCGACCUCGCUCUCUGACCCCGUGUUCCCCUGCCUCGCUCUCUCACCCCGAGUUCCCGAUCUCGUUCUCCAAACCUCGAGCAUGAGAUCCGAUCUGACCUCCAGCUUAUCAGCGGACCUGAGCUUGUCAUUCUCCAACUUGAGCCAGCUCUAGCUAGUUCUCCAACGUCUAGUCUCAGGAAGAUCCUAGAUUAAAGGUUUUCAAGAAUGAGUGGUUUGAAGGCAAGGACUGUCUUGACAUUGGCUGCAAUUCUAGGAUCAUCACUAUACAAAUCGGAGUUUACGGUUGUGAUAUUGGGUUUGUGAUCAACAAGGAGAGGGAGACGAAAUUUUAAAUUACGUUGAAGAGAGCAGGGGAGCUGCAGGUUUGGUG
rnacentral:lncRNA from 1 species